CGGGGGAGGCCGGAUCCUGGGGUGUGUCCUGGCGCCCUGGGCUCCCGGGCCUGUGCCGUUGUGAUUCGCGCUCCCGCCCCGCAGCCCCCU
rnacentral:pre_miRNA from 1 species